UAUAGGUCGUUUGCAUCGUCACGGAGAAAACAGAGAAGGCGGUAGCUGCAGUUGGGGCCCGUGAGUUUCUAAGUCCAGCACUAGAGUUGGGCUGAACUGAACUGCAAGUCACAGGCACCUGUACAGACAUGUGGCAGCAAAUCCUUCAGAGUGUCCGGUCCUUUAAAUAUCCCUGGAGGAGUAUAAUUCUGGCCCCUGCUGCUCUGGGAGCUGGAGGGCUCCUGGUUUGUUGGCUCCUGUCUAGACGGAAGAUCAAGACUCUAGAAAUGGGAGAUGGAUGGUGGGGCUCAGGCGAGAGGCCCCCAAGAGAGAAAGAAGAUGAGCGGAUCCGAUCCUUCCAAAUUGAAACCUCUGACAGGGAAAUUCAGGAACUGCACCAGCGCCUGGACCAGGCCCGCUACACACCGCCACUUGAGGGAGUCGCCUUCCAGUAUGGUUUCAACUCCACCUACCUGCAGAAAGUUGUUGCCUAUUGGAGGAACCAGUUUGACUGGCAGAAGCAGCUGGAAAUUGUGAACCAAUAUCCACAUUUCAAAACAACUAUUGAAGGGAUUGAAGUCCAUUUUGUCCAUGUGAAGCCCCCUGGCAUCCCCAAGGGUCAGGCAGCCAGGCCUUUGUUGAUGGUGCAUGGCUGGCCUGGCUCCUUCUAUGAGUUCUAUAAGAUCAUCCCACUGCUCACUGACCCAGCUGGGCACGGCCUGAAUGAGGAUGUGGUGUUUGAGGUCAUCUGUCCAUCCAUCCCAGGCUAUGGCUUCUCCGAGGCACCUCACCAACGAGGUUUUGACACGCUGGCUGCUGCUCGGAUAUUUCACAAGCUGAUGCAGAGACUGGGUUUCCAGGAGUUCUAUGUACAGGGGGGAGAUUGGGGCUCUCGGAUCACCGUAAACAUGGCCCAGAUGCUGCCAAAGUCCGUGAAAGGGCUUCAUCUGAAUUUAGUCUUCAUCACCUCAGGAGGUUUGGGGAGGCUGGUGUCUUUACUGCUGGGGGCUUAUGUGCCAUGGCUGGUGGGCCUCACCAGGGAAGACGCCCGCCGCUUAUACCCAUACUUGGAGAAGAACGUGUAUGAACUUCUGCGGGAGACCGGGUAUUUGCACAUCCAGGCCACCAAGCCAGACACAGCAGGCAGUGGACUAAACGACUCCCCCAUUGGACUUGCUGCAUACAUUCUGGAGAAGUUCUCUACCUGGACCGAUAGAUCAUUCCGGGACAUGGACAAUGGAGGUCUGGAGAGGAAAUUCUCUAUGGAUGACCUUUUGACCAAUGUGAUGAUUUAUUGGGUAACUUCAUCUAUUGUGCCCUCAAUGCGCUUCUACAAGGAGAAUCUUUCCAAGAACCCCAACACUGCUCCCGAUGCCAGGAUUGGAGUGUACGUACCCACUGGCAUUGCUGCUUUCCCCCAGGAGCUUGCACAUUGCCCACACUCCUGGGCAAAGAAGUUGUUCAAGAACAUAGUGGUCUACUCCUACAUGCCACGUGGGGGGCAUUUUGCUGCCUUCGAGGAACCAGAACUCCUGGCACAGGAUAUCAGGCAGUUGGUCAGAAAGGUGGAGCAUCUGUGAGCCAUGAGCAAGCGGGAGGCAGUAUGCACAGAUAAAUGGGCGCACAUUGCUAGACCACCAGCCUGAGGAGCAUUUUUGAGGGCAAACUCCUGCUGUAUCCUGAGAAUGGGUGGUUGCUGUUUAACGUGUGACAACAUUGCACCGCACUUUGGCAGUUUAAGGAUAAAAUGGCCCCCUAUUUCUGAGCAAGGGCAGCAGGUUCCACAGAAAAGCCCACCCAAGUUGUCUUCAUCUCUAGAGUGACUUGACCUGGGUUCAGUAGCUGAAGUGGAAGUGACAGGUGUGAAGGUCUCACUCUUCCAGGCAUGUGCGUCCAAGACCACCUUCCUGGAUGGCUACAGAGCAUCAUAUGGCAAACUGUGCCACAAAGGUCAGAGAGCACAGCAUGUUAGAAUGCACCGUUCAACCACAAGGUCUGGAUAGCCCUGCGCAAGAAGGCAGCUUUCCAACUUCAUUUACAAUAAUUGUGCCUCACUGUAGAUCAGUGCAUUUGUUGUAUGUUACAGCACUGACCACUCAGUCUCUCUAUAGCUGUUAGGGCACUCACCCAGGAUAGGGGAGACCCAGCUUCAAUUCCUUCCUCUGCCUGAAGUGAAGAACAGAUUUGAACAGGGACCUCUCAGGAGAGUGCUAUAGCCCUUGGACUACACAAUCCUUCUCACUCACUGGCCCAGUGUAUUUUUAAUUAUUUACACCCAGUGAACAGCUUCAACAGGAGUGACAGAGAGCCCUACACUAGAACAUCCCCUAGACCACUGGUUAGGGCACUCUUGUGGGAAGUGGGAUACCCAGUUUAAAUCCUACUCCACAUCAGGCAUGGGGGGAACUGAACCCAAGGUUUUCACAUAGCAGUAGUCCCCGAACUUUUCAGUGUCAUACCCCCUUCCCAGAGCUGGGGCUAUGGCUGGGGGCAGGAGCAGAGCUGUGGCCAGGGGCUGAGGCUGGGCCCACGGCUGGACUGGAAAGGGUCUUCAUGGGACUCCCUCCCUGCCCCAUGGGGGUUGGCUUGGGCCCUGCUGCACGCCCCCCCCCCAAUGUUCCUUCAUAUCCCCCUAGAGAGAUGCAUCCCACAGUUUGGGGACCUCCUCCUUGUAACAACCUUUUUUGUAUUUGAAAAAGGUAUGUUCCCUCUCCGUCUUCUCUUCUCCAGACUAAACAAACACAAUUUUUUUCAACCUUCCCUCAUAGGUCAUGUUUUUUAGACCUUUAAUCAGUUUUGGUGCUCUUUUCUGGACUUUCUCCAAUUUGUCCAUUUCUUUCCUUUGAAGUGUAGAGGCCUACACAAUGCAGAAUAGAGCAGAAGAAUUAUUUCUCAUGUCUUGCUUACAACCCUCCUGCUAAUACAUCCCAGCAUACAUUUGCAAGUGUUAUACUGCUAAUUCGUUUUUGUGAUCCACUGACCCCCAGAUCCCUUUCUGUAGUACUCCUGCCAAUGCAGUCAUUUCCCCUUUUGUACAUGUGCAACUGAGUGUUCUUUCCUAAGUGGAAUACUGUUAUUUAA